UACGGAGGGUGCAAGCGUUAUCCGGAUUUACUGGGUUUAAAGGGAACGCAGGCGGAUUGGUAAGUCAGUGGUGAAAUACCCGUGCUUAACAUGGGAACUGCCAUUGAUACUAUCAGUCUUGAAUGUUGUUGAGGUUUGCGGAAUGGGUCAUGUAGCGGUGAAAUGCAUAGAUAUGACCCGGAACACCUAUUGCGAAGGCAGCAGGCUAAACAAAUAUUGACGCUGAGGCUCGAAAGCGUGGGGAUCAAACAGG
rnacentral:rRNA from 1 species